rnacentral:rRNA from 1 species
UCAACUUGAGAGUUUGAUCCUGGCUCAGAACGAACGCUGGCGGCAGGCCUAACACAUGCAAGUCGAGCGAGACCUUCGGGUCUAGCGGCGGACGGGUUAGUAACGCGUGGGAACGUGCCCUUCUCUGCGGAAUAGCCACUGGAAACGGUGAAUAAUACCGCAUACGCCCUUCGGGGGAAAGAUUUAUCGGAGAAGGAUCGGCCCGCGUUAGAUUAGAUAGUUGGUGGGGUAAUGGCCUACCAAGUCUACGAUCUAUAGCUGGUUUUAGAGGAUGAUCAGCAACACUGGGACUGAGACACGGCCCAGACUCCUACGGGAGGCAGCAGUGGGGAAUCUUAGACAAUGGGCGCAAGCCUGAUCUAGCCAUGCCGCGUGUGUGAUGAAGGUCUUAGGAUCGUAAAGCACUUUCGCCAGGGAUGAUAAUGACAGUACCUGGUAAAGAAACCCCGGCUAACUCCGUGCCAGCAGCCGCGGUAAUACGGAGGGGGUUAGCGUUGUUCGGAAUUACUGGGCGUAAAGCGUACGUAGGCGGAUCAGAAAGUUGGGGGUGAAAUCCCGGGGCUCA